UGGAUACAUGCAGAAACAAAAAGACAAAUUCUCUGCCAGCUAGCCUGCUGUACAUCACAAUGGGACACUUUUAUGGAUCGGUGUUAAAAAUGGCAGUGUGAACGCUAAGCGAACCAGGACUAAAUGUAUCAUUUUCUUUUUUAGUCCGGACCAAGAGAACCAAACUACAAGUGUGAACACACCCUUAGAGACAUUUUCAGUGAUCCUUGCACAAUACUUUGGAUUGGCUUUGCACUCAAGCAAACAGCCACUUUUAACCAUGCACUGAGCACACACUGAGAAAAAUACAAUUGCGAAAAGUACAAGGUCACAACAGUUACAGAUGCGGAUGCACCAUCUACUUCGCAUUGAUCUGCGCCAAGAUUGCACUAAUUAGUGCAUUACUGUCACCUGCUGAUAGCUUGGAUCAGAAACUCAAAUCUUCUCAACUCUACCCCCCUCCCUCCCUGACUAUAUCAGAUCCAAAAGUUCAGCCAGCACUGCGUGUUCAGCUCCUCUGGCUUUACUCCCAGCUCCGCACAGUUCAGAUAAGGAGGAAGAAGCACACCAUUAAAUUGUUAAUUAUAUAAAACACACCUUUUAAUCUUAUAUUCGUUUAUACAUUAUAUACUACUUAUUAGACCCAUAUUUUCCAGGAACCUUAAUAUUGCAUUAAUUGUAUUCUUUACUAUUUCUGGAUUUAAUAUAUUCUUCAGUGUUAAUCCUUGUUCUCCUAUCCUCCUGAUUUCCUCCAAUAGCACUUCUCUUUCUUCUUCAUAAUUCCUACAGUGAAUAAUCACAUGGUCUACUGUUUCAUUCUGUCCACACCAGUCGCACAUUCCUAUUGGAUGUUUGGAUAUUAACUGCAAUUUUUUAUUUAGACCUGUAUGCCCCAGCCUUAGUCUGGAUAUUAUAUUGUCUUCCCUCCUAUUUCUUCCCUUCCCAACUUUUGCUUGUAUUGCAUAUAAAUGUCUUCCUUUAAUUUAAUUAUUCCAAUACUGUUGCCAUUUCUGUAUCAUCUUUUGUUUUAUUAUUGAUUUGAUUUCUGACCUACAAUGUGAUAUUUCAAAUUUUACCACCUCUUCUUCCAUAGCUUGCUUUGCUAAUCUAUCCACUUCCUCAUUUCCUUUAACUCCCACAUGAACUGUAACUCUAUUCCACUUUGUUGUAAGAUGUAUAAGUUUUGAAGAAUGUGCAAUAUUAACUUUCUGAAUGUUGUAUAUCAAGACUUGCUAAUGUUGAGCAUGUUGUAUUUUUGAAUCUUUUAUCCAUUGUACUGCUAACAGAAUAGCCAUCAAUUCUCCUGUAUAUACUGAUACCUGAUCAGUUAUUCUUUUCUUCUUUGAGAUCUUUAAUUCUGGAAUAGUAACUGAAACUCCUACUUGUCCUCCAUUUGGAUUUUUUGAAGCAUCUAUGAAUAUAUGAAUAUUAUUUCCGUAUUUUAGCCAAAUAUACUCCUUUACUCUUGUUACUUCCUGUUCAUCUUUACCCUCUUUUUGUCUGGCCUCCAAUAAGAAGCGGAAAAAUCCACCAAGGAAUUGGUGGCAGUAUCACUCUUGGUACAUACUUGUAUGCAUUUAGACCCAUUUGAUUUAUCAUCUCUUCAAUUAUCCACCCAAAACUAUUAUACUUAUUCAUCCCCCUUUCCCAAAAUGUCUCUAAUAUCUUCAGCAUUGGAUGUGACGCAUUCUGACUUUUAAGGUUUGUCCAGUACACUGCCAUCAGUUGCUGCCUUCUAAUAUAAAGAGGCAUUUCACCUACUACCUGUAGUGAUGAAACUGGUGUUGAUGCAUAUACUCCGCAGCAAGUUCUUAAUGCCUGUGCUUGAAUCCUGUCCAGUUUAACUAAAUGUGAUUUUGCUAAAAUUACUGUGAUUCACGUAGCUACUGGCUUUUCCGGAUUGAGAAUCUGCCGUCAUUACUUCACCUUCUUCUUUUGGUUUGAUUGGCAUUACUUUAGCCAUAUUUCCCCCACUUGACUCUUUAUAAUUGUUUUGCCCUCAGCUUUACUCAGCGGAAUGUUCAUGUUUACUGUUUGCAAUCUGAGUGAUUGCUUGGCUAGUUUGUCAACAACCUCAUUUCCUUCUACUCCUACAUGAGCAGGAACCCAAGCAAAGCAAACCGUCAGACCCUUAUUGUGUAGAUUGUAUAUUAAAUUAUGAAUUUCAAAUAGUAGAUCUUGUCUGUGCUGCUUGUGAGUGCUGCCGAACUAUCAGAUGCAAUGAGAGCAUUAUUAAUGUUGUUUUCUUAUUUCUUAAUUUAUAUUUUGAAUAGACUUGAAAGGAUUUUUGAACCCCACGAUGUGGGUUUAUGUUUUCUUUUUUUAAUCGUUUAAUGUAGUUUUGAGUGUGUCUAUGGUUUAAGGAGGGUGUACCUGUAUGCUGGGUUGGAUAUCUCACAGAUCAAUAGUGGUAUUUUCCUUAUUACAUCACGUGUUGUUCUGAAAGUAAAAAGAAACAAAUGAAACACGGAAUGUAGGCUGUCAUCCGCGCAGCCUGACCGAAGCAAAGCGGGCACGAUUACUCAUUGACCGAACGUGAAGCGCUGCCGGCUCGUGAUGUGCGAAUGGAUUGCACGCGCUGCAUGAGUCUGUUGGGUAUACUGCAGUCUCCUCACAUUUUAACUUUUUGUUUAGUCUCCCAUUCAGCUCAUGAAACAUGUUAUGUGAUACUUCAGAAUCUAGCCAAAUGUAGUAGGUCAUCACGGCAUUUCUCGCCUACUGUUUUAUGAAUACUGAGAAUUUGGACAUCCUACUCCAUUGGCAUAUGUUUUGGCAUACUAAAUAGGAGUAUUUAUAUUCGGACACAGCCAGGCCUGGACUGGGACUAAAAAGUGGCCCUGGACUUUCUGGCCCAGGCCAGAGCAGCCCACCAAACCUGGCCCGCAACACAACACACCUGCUCUUUGAUUUCAUUUUCUGGCUAAAUUUCAGAUUUUUGUAUUUAAAUUAAUUUUUUUUUUUUUUUAAAAGACAUCUCUAUUGACUGCUUGACAUGACAACGGGCCCCACCAGUGCAAAAAUUGUCAUAACUUAAAACCAUAUAAAAGCACUGUAAAUGUAAAAGUACAAGGGAAAGUAUGUAUUUUAGGUGCAGUGACAAGUCAGCAUUUCUUCACAUUUUUUAAAGUUCUUAAUCAACUUUUUUCCAGAAGUGCAAAUAAACUAUUUUCUUAGUUAAUAUGAAGUUGUGGAAAUAAGUACAAUAAUAAUAUAUUAUAUAUGUAUAUAUAGCUAUACAAGAUCAUAAAAUGAUGAAGAAAGUGUCACAUAGCAGGAUACUGAUGACAAUGUUUAAAAUGUUAUGUUAAAUACCCACAUAACUAUGUGUAAAUGUUUAUCUAAAUAAAUCAAUGAAAACAAAGUUGCCCAGAAUAUGUACAUAUAAAUAUAAACAAAUAUAAAUAUAUGUAAAAAUAAAAAUAAACAUACCUCUUAAAGAUUUUUUGCAGAUUAAUUGCUCAUAUGUUCACUCUAUGUGAAUUUGUUGCAUCUUUAUAUCUGCAGUGUUUUAAUUCCUUCCCCAGAUUAUUCUUGAAAAAAAAAGAAAAGUUCUGUGCUUUGACAAGCGCUGUUUCUGCUAUCCUUUAAACAAAGUAAGCCUCAAAGACUCAAAUAGCCACAAAGUAAUAUUUUUCAUGACUUAUUUUCUGCAUUUUUAUCAGGUGUGAGCAUUGUUCAGCAAGCCUCACUUCAGCUCCCAGAAAUGCUUUGCGGUAUUAAUAAAUUAUGCAGAUGACUAUGUACUGCUCAUAGCUUUACUGUUUGCCGAUUUUAUAUAUGCUGCUGUUAUUGUAUUUGUUGUAACUCGCAGUUAUUUUUCAUUUUGUGAUUAUUCAGAGCUCAUCUUAUACUUAAUAUGUUGUUUUUUGUUGUCACCAUUAUUGUUAUUUUUAUGUCAAAUAAUGUAGUCUUGAGUUACGGAAUAAACAUGC